CUCGCAUCCUUCCUUGGAUCCACAUAAGUGUUAAUAAUAAUUUUGUUGCAUCUCCUCUGCUGAUCAGAGCUUUCAAACUCAUGACAGAAUAAUGUACUAAACUUCAGUUUGGUGUCUAUCUCAGUGUACCUACACUCAGUUGGAAAACUUCAACCACACUGCAACAAGGUUUAUAAAAGGUACUGUUACUAUUGUUAAAAUUAGUCAUUUUAGCUAUCCGCUUCUAUUUCACCGUGCUUGCAGGUUUGCUAUGAGGAAAAACAAAUUUAUGGGCUCAAACAAAGUGUGAUAGUGAAAGUCAUUUUGCUUCCAGCUUAAGAACCAAGCCAAGAAAACAGAUAUCAACUGUGACGCCACACUCAAAAGCUUGUUUGGUGGGAGGGACAAGGUUGGGAUGCUGGAGAUCUCCGAGCUUUUGAGCCGUGGCUUCCCGAAAAUCUCCAAGCUUUUGUGGUCCAUGGAGCCAGGGAUGGCUCUUUGGUAAAAGACUUCGUUGUGGAUGGCCUCUUUUAUGGUCCAUGUUAAGUCCCAAGUCCCACUAGGUGGUUAAGCAGAAAAAUCUUGUGAUGGCAUUAAGACUUUCAGACUUUGUUUUUGGGUCUGAUGCAUGUAAAAAGGAUUCCCAGUGUUUCUGUUGCUCUUGCGAUCCUGUGAGGACACAUAUGAGAGAAAUAUUUAGUUUGUUGAUGGCAAAUCUUGUCUUAUGUUCA